rnacentral:rRNA from 1 species
UAAUACGUAGGGGGCAAGCGUUGUCCGGAAUUAUUGGGCGUAAAGCGCGCGCAGGCGGUUUUUUAAGUCUGGUGUAUAAUCCACGGGCUCAACCCGUGUUCGCACCGGAAACUGGGAGACUGGAGUGUAGGAGAGGAAAGUGGAAUUCCACGUGUAGCGGUGAAAUGCGUAGAGAUGUGGAGGAACACCAGUGGCGAAGGCGACUUUCUGGCCUAUAACUGACGCUGAGGCGCGAAAGCGUGGGGAGCAAACAGGAUUAGAUACCCUGGUAGUCCACGCCGUAAACGAUGAGUGCUAGGUGUUAGGGGUUUCGAUACCCUUGGUGCCGAAGUUAACACAGUAAGCACUCCGCCUGGGGAGUACGCUCGCAAGAGUG